rnacentral:rRNA from 1 species
GAGACAGGUGGUGCAUGGUUGUCGUCAGCUCGUGUCGUGAGAUGUUGGGUUAAGUCCCGCAACGAGCGCAACCCUUGUGUUUAGUUGCAAACAGGUCAAGCUGUGCACUCUAGACAGACUGCCGUGGACAACACGGAGGAAGGUGGGGGAUGACGUCAAAUCAUCAUGCCCCUUAUGAUCUGGGCUACACACGUGCUACAAUGGCCGGUACAACGGGCAGCGAAGGAGCGAUCCGGAGCGAAUCCUAAAAAGCCGGUCCCAGUUCGGAUUGCAGGCUGAAACUCGCCUACAUGAAGUUGGAGUUGCUAGUAAUCGCGAAUCAGAAUGUCGCGGUGAAUGCGUUCCCGGGUCUU